CAUGGCGCUGGGCAUGAUCGACCGGCCCAAGGGAGUGCUGGUCGAGGCCGAGACGAACAAGCCCGGCGGCGCGAAUGA
rnacentral:misc_RNA from 1 species